CACAUUCCUUCAGCGGAAAGUAAACAAACGUCGAAGCGAAGCGGGAAAGACGACGCUAUUUUGGCCUUUUUCUGCCGGGAUAAUUGGGGAUUUUGGAGAACUGGCAAAUAUACAUUGUAUCCAAGAGCAGCACGGACAGCUAAGAAAAAGAUACAUUCUGGUGAAGAUCAUUAAAGUCUGCAAGCAUGGAUAACUUACGUUUUGCUGGAGAUGACGAUGAGGACCUUUACUCAGGGUUUGAUUCUGUUCAUCCAGCUCUUGAUACGCGGCAGCUAGAUGCUGAUCAGGGUUUUCAAGAGGCUGUUCGUACAAGUUAUGGCAGACGGCCACCGACUCAGAGUCGAGCUCCC